rnacentral:rRNA from 1 species
CAGUCGCCACGGUAAUACGUAGGGUGCAAGCGUUAAUCGGAAUUACUGGGCGUGAAGCGUGCGCAGGCGGUUUCGUAAGACAGAUGUGAAAUCCCCGGGCUUAACCUGGGAACUGCAUUUGUGACUGCGAGGCUAGAGUGUGUCAGAGGGGGGUGGAAUUCCACGUGUAGCAGUGAAAUGCGUAGAGAUGUGGAGGAACACCGAUGGCGAAGGCAGCCCCCUGGGCCAAUACUGACGCUCAUGCACGAAAGCGUGGGGAGCAAACAGGAUUAGAUACCCCCGUAGUCCCUGUCUCUUAUAC